ensembl:misc_RNA Metazoa_SRP Metazoan signal recognition particle RNA
GCUGGGCGUGGUGGUGUGUGCCUGUAGUCCUAUCUACUCAGGAGGCUGAGGUGGGAGGAUUGCUUGAGCCCAGGAGGUUGAGGCUGCAGUGAGCUGAGAUUGCGCCACUCAGUUCAGCCUGGGUGACAGAGCAAGACCCUAUCUCAA